rnacentral:rRNA from 1 species
AGAAUCAACGCUGGCGGCGUGCCUCAGACAUGCAAGUCGUACGAUUAAAGCUCUCUUCGGAGAGUGCAUAAAGUGGCGUACGGGUGAGUAACACGUAAGUAAUCUACCUUUGAGUGGGGAAUAACAGUCGGAAACGACUGCUAAUACCGCAUAAUGCAGCGGCUCGACAUCGAGACAGUUGUUAAAGAAUUUAUUCGCUUAAAGAGGAGCUUGCGGCAGAUUAGCUAGUUGGUAAGGUAAUGGCUUACCAAGGCAACGAUCUGUA